rnacentral:lncRNA from 1 species
UUGAGGGGAAGGGAUUUUAUUAGUUGUUUAAGUGAAGAAUGGUUAGGAAUGGUGAGUUGUGAGAGACGGAGGGAUGUAGAAGGUGGUGAUUAUGGGCAGUUGGAGGUGAAGAAGAGAGGAGAGGUUUUAUAAUGACAGUCACAAGGAGGGUGCAUUUGGUGUUAUUUUUUUGUUGGAGUAGAAGAAGAUGAAAGUUUUGUUUAGUUGGAGAGGUU